GAAGUGUUAAACCCUUACAUAGUUAGCUCAAAGCUUGUCCUGGGAAACAGCAGGAAAAAUCGUUACUCGACACCCUGCUUAGCCACGCCACGCCGACCAUCUCAUCCUGGGUUCAGUUCAGUCAUCGCCGGGCGGCAAGACGGAGUGGUACCUUAACGCUCUGUCCCCACCCGAACAUGUGAUAAACCAAAGGAAUCAAGUGGCUAAUAAAAAAAACAAGCAAAAAAAACUUUAUAUAAAAACUUAAAACUAUAUAUUGACGAGACUACUGUAAUCAUUUAAUCCGAAAACGUGUAUCAGAGAUAGUACUGUCGAUCGAGCGUAAACUGUGACUGAAGUGCUGUAAAGACAAUAUAACUCAGGUCAGUCAGCACCGUCUACCACCACCCCCCCAGAGCCCAAGUCUAGUAUUGAACCAACGUACCAAGCCAACGUUUGGGACGACCAUCUCCUCUCUCUCUCUUCCUCACAUCAAAGGUGCGUCUCGGGGGAGGGCUUGCGAGCUGGUGUACCUGGAGCCGCUGCCUUGGCCAUUCAGGUGGGUGUCUAGUGAGGGACUUACGCCGUCGGUUCAACUGUUAAGGUA